GAAUGGUCAGACAUAUAGAUGUGCUAACCUAAACUUGAUCGGUCAGAUAUCAUAUCUACUAAUUUAGAAGAGAUUUAAACCUAAAUUUUCUCACUAAAUAUUGUCUAGAGGUCUUCCAUCAUCGUAAAGAUGCAGAUGCCUUCCUGACGUUGAUCGUUCUCAGCUGGUUAUAGUGGUUCGAUUGCAUAAGAAAGGUACAACCACUCUAUUGGCAUUUGAUGCCCUGAGGUAGAGAUG
rnacentral:lncRNA from 1 species